UCAAGCCCGGGCGUCCUCGGUUCACCCAACCGGCCGGAAAGCCGCAGCUCCCCAUCCCCCGGACACCUUGGGGAGCACGCUGGCGGGGUUCAGGGCUGAGGGGGCUCCCUGGACCCUGGCCGUCGACCUUGGCGUUUUGGGAGUCAGGGAAGAGGCCAUCUCACGAGCACCUGACCCGAAGCAACAACUGUGAAAAGAUUUCAAGAGGACAUCAGGCAAGAGGCGGAGAAGACGUGCAGCCAUCCCGCCCCAUCCACAGAGAUGCCACAGGCCAUGGCUGUUGCUGUCUCAACAAGCAACCAAAAAAAUCCAAACUUCAAGACAGGGAAGGAACACACGAGCACACCAGCAAAAUAAUACUCUAGCGGACUGAAGCAACACUGGAAAGCGCUCAUCUUAAUACACCAGCAAAGCGAAUCUACUUUUCCUGGGAACAACAUUUGAGGAACAUCCUCCCUCCCUCAGUGCAACGUGAGCUCUCCUAUAAGGCGUGGAACGCAGGAAGCUUUGGGAAUUUUGAAAGAAAACCUCUUUACAAUUUAAAACCAUCCGACCCGUAGAGAGCUGUUGGCUCUAGCCUGGGUGUCUUUCUCCUGAAUAUCAAUCAAUAACCGAGUCUGGACAAUGCACGGGAUCUGAAAGAUCUCAAGUGACAUCCCUGUUUCAAAGGCAAACACAUUUAGGGCCCCAAAUCAAAUGACAAGUAUUAAACAUUUCUCCAUCAAAAUAAGAAAGAAAAAACAUCAUCUCCCAUUGAAUUCUUCUUUAGAAAAAAAUUUACAAGGCACAGUGCCAGGCACACACAGCCUAUGAUGCAUUCAUCAACUAACCAAAGCCUAGAGGAUCACUGUCGCCCGUGAAAUCACGUCUUAGAUGUGAAAAUAUUUCUAAGGGCUGAAGAAUCUUUCUGUUAGUCCACUAUCCAGCUCCAGUCCUACUGAUA